CCCGCACAAGCGGAGGAACAUGUGGUUUAAUUCGAUGAUACGCGAGGAACCUUACCUGGGCUUAAAUGUAGAGUGCAUGGGUAGAAAUAUCCCUUUCCUUCGGGACUCUUUUGCAAGGUGCUGCAUGGUUGUCGUCAGCUCGUGCCGUGAGGUGUCGGGUUAAGUCCCAUAACGAGCGCAACCCUUAUCGUUAGUUGCCAGCGGGUCAUGCCGGGAACUCUAACGAAACUGCCGGUGUAAACCGUGAGGAAGGUGGGAUGACGUCAAAUCAGCACGGCCCUUAUGUCCAGGGCUACACACGUGUUACAAUGGCCGGUACAGAGGGCAGCUACCUGGAGACAGGAUGCGAAUCUCCAAAGCCGGUCUCAGUUCGGAUCGGAGUCUGCAACUCGACUCCGUGAAGCUGGAUUCGCUAGUAAUCGCGCAUCAGCCAUGGCGCGGUGAAUACGUUCCCGGGCCUU
rnacentral:rRNA from 1 species